UGGAAAAUUAUCGCUCAAAUUUCAGGAGGCACGUGGAGUUGCUAUGAUAUUGACAACGUCGUCAUAGGUAAAAUUGCGAUAAACAGAUUAUCAUUGGUCAUCUCAACUCGACUGCUUUCGCCAUACCGGGUCAAGCGAGAACAUCAAUCUCGUUGAGAUGAUCAACAAUAAUCUAUAAGUAUAUUGACUGGUAGAUUCCGUUCUUCACAAAUAUGAAUAUAUAUUACGAUCCCAAUUAUUAUAGAAAA
rnacentral:lncRNA from 1 species